rnacentral:rRNA from 1 species
UUGUUCGGAAUUACUGGGCGUAAAGCGCGCGUAGGCGGUUUUGCAAGCCAGAGGUGAAAUGCCUGAGCUCAACUUAGGAAUUGCCUUUGGGACUGCGAGGCUUUGAGGACUGGAGAGGUGAGUGGAAUUCCCAGUGUAGAGGUGAAAUUCGUAGAUAUUGGGAAGAACACCGGUGGCGAAGGCGGCUCACUGGCCAGUUUCUGACGCUGCAGCGCGAAAGCGUGGGGAUCAAACAGG